rnacentral:rRNA from 1 species
AGAGUUUGAUCCUGGCUCAGGAUGAACGCUGGCGGCGUGCUUAACACAUGCAAGUCGAACGAUGAUGCCCACUUGUGGGUGGAUUAGUGGCGAACGGGUGAGUAACACGUGAGUAACCUGCCCUUAACUCUGGGAUAAGCCUGGGAAACUGGGUCUAAUACCGGAUAUGACUCCUCAUCGCAUGGUGGGGGGUGGAAAGCUUUUUGUGGUUUUGGAUGGACUCGCGGCCUAUCAGCUUGUUGGUGAGGUAAUGGCUCACCAAGGCGACGACGGGUAGCCGGCCUGAGAGGGUGACCGGCCACCCUGGGACUGAGACACGGCCCAGACUCCUACGGGAGGCAGCAGUGGGGAAUAUUGCACAAUGGGCGCAAGCCUGAUGCAGCGACGCCGCGUGAGGGAUGACGGCCUUCGGGUUGUAAACCUCUUUCAGUAGGGAAGAAGCGAAAGUGACGGUA